rnacentral:rRNA from 1 species
CACGUAGGGCGCAAGCGUUGUCCGGAAUUAUUGGGCGUAAAGAGCUCGUAGGCGGUCUGUUGCGUCUGCUGUGAAAACCCGGGGCUUAACCCCUGGCUUGCAGUGGAUACGGACAGACUAGAGGUAGGUAGGGGAGAAUGGAAUUCCCGGUGUAGCGGUGAAAUGCGCAGAUAUCAGGAGGAACACCAGCGGCGAAGGCGGCGCUCUGGGCCGGUACUGACGCUGAGGAGCGAAAGCGUGGGUAGCAAACAGG